AUUGAACGCUGGCGGCAGGCCUAACACAUGCAAGUCGAGCGGAAACGAGUUAUCUGAACCUUCGGGGAACGAUAACGGCGUCGAGCGGCGGACGGGUGAGUAAUGCCUAGGAAAUUGCCCUGAUGUGGGGGAUAACCAUUGGAAACGAUGGCUAAUACCGCAUAAUGCCUACGGGCCAAAGAGGGGGACCUUCGGGCCUCUCGCGUCAGGAUAUGCCUAGGUGGGAUUAGCUAGUUGGUGAGGUAAUGGCUCACCAAGGCGACGAUCCCUAGCUGGUCUGAGAGGAUGAUCAGCCACACUGGAACUGAGACACGGUCCAGACUCCUACGGGAGGCAGCAGUGGGGAAUAUUGCACAAUGGGCGCAAGCCUGAUGCAGCCAUGCCGCGUGUGUGAAGAAGGCCUUCGGGUUGUAAAGCACUUUCAGUCGUGAGGAAGGUAGUGUAGUUAAUAGCUGCAUUAUUUGACGUUUAGCGACAGAAGAAG
rnacentral:rRNA from 1 species